AUUGGCUGUUACCUGCAGCUGAUGAGCUCCAAAAAGAGUGUAACCGCUUAGGUCCUGUAGUAUUGGCCUAUAAGUGU
rnacentral:hammerhead_ribozyme from 2 species